GACGAACGCUGGCGGCGUGCCUAAUACAUGCAAGUCGAACGCUUUUUCUUUCACCGGAGCUUGCUCCACCGAAAGAAAAAGAGUGGCGAACGGGUGAGUAACACGUGGGUAACCUGCCCAUCAGAAGGGGAUAACACUUGGAAACAGGUGCUAAUACCGUAUAACACUAUUUUCCGCAUGGAAGAAAGUUGAAAGGCGCUUUUGCGUCACUGAUGGAUGGACCCGGGGUGCAUUAGCUAGUUGGUGAGGUAACGGCUCACCAAGGCAACGAUGCAUAGCCGACCUGAGAGGGUGCUCGGCCACACUGGGACUGAGACACGGCCCAGACUCCUACGGGAGGCAGCAGUAGGGAAUCUUCGGCAAUGGACGAAAGUCUGACCGAGCAACGCCGCGUGAGUGAAGAAGGUUUUCGGAUCGUAAAACUCUGUUGUUAGAGAAGAACAAGGAUGAGAGUAGAACGUUCAUCCCUUGACGGUAUCUAACCAGAAAGCCACGGCUAACUACGUGCCAGCCGCCGCCGUAA
rnacentral:rRNA from 1 species